AUUGAACGCUGGCGGCAGGCUUAACACAUGCAAGUCGAGCGGAGAUGAGGUGCUUGCACCUUAUCUUAGCGGCGGACGGGUGAGUAAUGCUUAGGAAUCUGCCUAUUAGUGGGGGACAACAUUCCGAAAGGAAUGCUAAUACCGCAUACGUCCUACGGGAGAAAGCAGGGGAUAUUCGGACCUUGCGCUAAUAGAUGAGCCUAAGUCGGAUUAGCUAGUUGGUGGGGUAAAGGUCCACCAAGUAGGCGAUCUGUAGCGGGUCUGAGAGGAUGAUCCGCCACACUGGGACUGAGACACGGCCCAGACUCCUACGGGAGGCAGCAGUGGGGAAUAUUGGACAAUGGGGGGAACCCUGAUCCAGCCAUGCCGCGUGUGUGAAGAAGGCCUUAUGGUUGUAAAGCACUUUAAGCGAGGAGGAGGCUACUGAGACUAAUACUCUUGGAUAGUGGACGUUACUCGCAGAAUAAGCACCGGCUAACUCUGUGCCAGCCGCCGCCGUAA
rnacentral:rRNA from 1 species